UACGUAGGGUGCAAGCGUUGUCCGGAAUUAUUGGGCGUAAAGGGCGCGUAGGCGAUUUGGCAAGUCUUGUGUGAAAGCCCACAGCCUAACUGUGGAAGUGCACAAGAUACUGCUGAAUUUGAGUUCAGGAGAGGAAGGCAGAAUUCCCGGUGUAGCGGUGAAAUGCGUAGAUAUCGGGAGGAAUACCAGUGGCGAAGGCGGCCUUCUGGACUGACACUGACGCUGAGGCGCGAAAGCUAGGGGAGCAAACGGG
rnacentral:rRNA from 1 species